ACUAUUAAACGGUAUGGGGUCUAAAUUUUGGAGUAUAUAUAUUUUUGAUAUUGCAAUUAAAGUAAAAUUAAAAAGAAAA
ensembl:misc_RNA Gm56477 predicted gene, 27645